rnacentral:rRNA from 1 species
UCGCUCCUACCGAUUGAGUGUUCCGGUGAACUAUUCGGACUGCGAUUCAUCGACUGAUGCUUCGCGGGAAGUUUUGUAAACCUUAUCACUUAGAGGAAGGAG